rnacentral:rRNA from 1 species
GGAUUAGAUACCCUGGUAGUCCACGCCCUAAACGAUGUCUACUAGUUGUCGGGUCUUAAUUGACUUGGUAACGCAGCUAACGCGUGAAGUAGACCGCCUGGGGAGUACGGUCGCAAGAUUAAAACUCAAAGGAAUUGACGGGGACCCGCACAAGCGGUGGAUGAUGUGGAUUAAUUCGAUGCAACGCGAAAAACCUUACCUACCCUUGACAUGGCUGGAAUCCUUGAGAGAUCAGGGAGUGCUCGAAAGAGAACCAGUACACAGGUGCUGCAUGGCUGUCGUCAGCUCGUGCCG